AACACAACUCGAGACUUUCGAAACCUCCCACUCAGUAUCGGAUGAAUAACACAGUUUGAUGUUUUGCUUGUUCUGCUGACGGACACGUUAAAGACGUCUGCGCUCCCGUUUCUGUGCAUGUCCAGCAUGAGACAACUGGAAUUCAACCACAUUGAACACCGACUUCAGUUUAUUAGGGAUGGAUGUGCCCUGAAGGACAGCGCUGUGAUGACUAUGUUCUGUCUCUUAUGGCAAAGAAGACAAAUAAAUCACUGGGGUGUUAUCCAAAGUGUAUCAAAUCAGAAAACAAAAGAUAAACAUUUUUCUAAUAAGUGUUUAU